GAUGAAGAACGUAGCGAAAUGCGAUACUUGGUGUGAAUUGCAGAAUCCCGUGAACCAUCGAGUCUUUGAACGCAAGUUGCGCCCGAAGCCAUCAGGUUGAGGGCACGUCUGCCUGGGCGUCACAUAUCGUUGCCCAAUGCCUAUUGCAGUGCAAUAGGAAUUUCUAGGGCGAAUGAUGGCUUCCCGUGAGCGUUGUUGCCUCGCGGUUGGUUGAAAAUCGAGUCCUUGGUAGGGUGUGCCAUGGUAGAUGGUGGUCGAGUUAGAACGAUACCGAUCAUGUGCAUGCUCCCCAAGAUAUGGCCUCUAUGACCCACACGCGUCUUUUGACGCUCAUGACGAGACCUCAGGUCAGGCGGGGCUACCCGCUGAAUUUAAGCAUAUCAAUAAGCGGAGGA
rnacentral:misc_RNA from 1 species